AACGAUUUUGAUCUCUGAUCUGAAUCAAGCGAUUGCAGCAUCACCCCUACUUCAACAACCCAGCCCUUUCCAAGGUAAAGUAGUAGGUCAUGAUCGGUGGAGUGAAUGAUCAACCAGUGUGUAAGUGCGCUGUUAUUUUCACACCCACCAUCUCCUGAUCCUUUUGAUGAACCAAUAGAACUGCCCAUUUUUUUUUGGGUACUAUUGCAGAAUGUUCAAUUACUACAGCAUUAUCUGGAAAUAGUUUUUCCAACAUCCUUGAGAAAGGAAGGCAGGGUGAUCUUCAAUCCAAAAAAAAAGAAAAGAAAAAAGAAUUAAAGAAGCCAUGUUAUAGAUUGUUGUAAGCAGUGUUCAGUUGUCAAAGCAAAGCUUGGAGACUGAUCUAUCACAAACUUCAAACUAUAGAGAGAUCCCUCUAUUACUCACACAUACCACUUGAGGAAGCAAGGGCCCUUCUUGAAUGGUUAGAAUAUCAAAGAGACAACGUUGAAGGUGCCCUUCUGGUUUUGAUGGCAUUCAUCUACAAGCAACAACAGAAAGAUUACAGCCAUCAUUUCCUUUCUUCUGAAUCAUUUUGUUAUUCAUACUUGAUAUAUAUAUUAUACAUGAUUAUGUAAAUUUCAGUAUAUUAAUUUUAAAAACAAAAAUAUUUAUAUUCAACAGCAA